UUUCCGUAGGUGAACCUGCGGAAGGAUCAUUAAUAAAUUCUGACCAUAAAUUGGUUAGAUACAAUAAUCAUCCUACCCUAUGUGAAUUUGUUGUAUAAAAUAAUUUUUUGAUAAAAAUUAUUUGAUUUGUCUUUCCCUGAUGUUAAGAGAGGUUGUAAAAGACUUUUCUUACUCAGGGAUAGAUUUUUCAAAUAAUUUUUUGAGAAAGACCUUUUUUUAAAUAAAACUUUUUGUAUUCAUUUGUCUAAAAAAUUUUAUAAAUAAUAUAAAAACAACUUUUGACAAUGGAUCCUUGGUUCUCGCAUCGAUGAAGAACGCAGCAAAAUGCGAUAAGUAGUGUGAAUUGCAGAAUACGUGAAUCAUCGAAUCUUCGAACGCAUAUUGCACUUUUUAGUUUACUAAAAAAGUAUGUCUGUUUGAGUGUCAGUAAAAUAUUCUCAUAAAAAUUUAUUUUUUUAUGGUUUGAGUGUUUACAACGAUACAAUUGUUCACUUUAAAUUUUUUGAUAUUGGAAAUUUUUCAAUUUUUUUAAAAUUGGAUAAAAUUUCCGUAAAAGGAAUAAACUUGACAAUUUUAAAAAUAAGAAAAAACAUUUCCACAAUAAAGAAAAUUUAAAAUCAACUUGAUCUCAAUCAGAUAAGAGUACCCGCUGAACUUAAGCAUAUCAAUAAGCGGAGGAAAAGAAACUAACAAGGAUUCCCUAGUAACGGCGAGUGAAGCGGGAAGAGCUCAAAUUUGAAAUCUUAAAGGUUUCCCUUUACGAAUUGUAGUUAAAGAAGUGUUUUCUGUUGAGUUUGGUAAAGUUCUUUGAAUAGGACAUCAUAGAGGGUGAGAAUCCCGUAUUUGACCAUUAUUUCCAGCUGUGUGAUACACUUUCAAGAGUCGGAUUGUUUGGGAAUGCAGUCCAAAAUGGUGGUAAAUUUCAUCUAAAGCUAAAUAUUGGCGAGAGACGAUAGCGAACAAGUACCGUGAGGGAAAGAUGAAAAGAACUUUGAAAGAGAGUUAAACAGUACGUGAAAUUGUCAAAAGGGAAGCGUUUGACACCAGUGUUGUUUUAGAAAAUCAAUUAAAUGGUUGGAUUCUGUGUGUAUUGACUUACAGCUUCUUCCUUUUUCUGUCUUUUUUAAUGCACUUUCGUUAACAAGUCAACAUCAUUUCUUUGUUGUAAAGGGUAUGGAAGGUGGCUUCUUUCGGAGAAGUGUUUAUAGCCUUUGAUCUCUGCAAUCGGAGAGACUGAGGUCUGCAGCGUAGACUCUUCGGGUUAGAUACAUUGUGCUAAGUAUAGCUUUCAUAGACAACUUGUUGACUAUGUUUAGUCUUGUAGCUUACUCGCUUAUGCUAUUUUACCUACGCUUAGGAUGUUG
rnacentral:misc_RNA from 1 species